ensembl:snoRNA Gm25821 small nucleolar RNA SNORA21
UCCCUUUUGAAAGCAUUCAGUGACCUUUUGCUAGUGAUCCACUGAGCUGUCACGAAGGGGCAGAGUGAAAACAUCACUUUUGGGAGAAGUGGUAACAUGUUGUUUGCUUCAAUCAGUGUUGACAAGA